rnacentral:misc_RNA from 1 species
AACGCACCUUGCGCUCCUUGGAAUUCCGAGGAGCAUGCCUGUUUGAGUGUCAUUAUAUUCUCAACUCCACCAGCUUUUGUGGCUGGCACUUGGAGCUUGGAUGUGGAGGUUUUGCGGGCCUGUUUAUUGGGUCAGCUCCUCUGAAAUACAUUAGCGGAACCGUUUGCGAUCCGUCACAGGUGUGAUAAUUAUCUACGCCAGUGGGUUGCUUUCUGUCUGUUCAGCUUAUAACCGUCCUGUAUUGGACAACUUUAUUGAAAGUUUGACCUCAAAUCAGGUAGGACUACCCGCUGAACUUAA